GGAACCCACGAACUCAGCUCAGGAAGAGCAAACAAUCACAAGUCAUGAGCUAAUAAGAUCUAUUACACAGAAUCCCAUACUACCCGACAUGAACUAAAGACCCUACAAUGCACAUCCUUUUCAUCUUUUCAUCUUUUCCUCUUUUCCUCAGUGGGUAGCCCCCCACUAGGCUUCUACCCCAUAUUCAUGUGGAUUGGCCACAUCUCCUAUGGGUGCUUCCAUAUUCAUGUGGAUUCGCCACAUCUCCUAUGGAUACCUAGCGUGGACUACUACCCCACCUACUUUCCUUAGACUCUCUAUAUG
rnacentral:lncRNA from 1 species